GAAUUUCCCGGCCGCGAAAAUCGCCCUUCUUAAAGGAAUCGACGGGGGCCCGCACAAGCGGUGGAGUAUGUGGUUUAAUUCGACGCAACGCGAAGAACCUUACCAGGGCUUGACAUCGACUGAAAGAUGCAGAGAUGUAUCCCUCUCUUCGGAGACAGGAAGACAGGUGGUGCAUGGCUGUCGUCAGCUCGUGUCGUGAGAUGUUGGGUUAAGUUCCGCAACGAGCGCAACCCCUAUCCUAUGUUACCAUCAUUGAGUUGGGGACUCAUAGGAGACUGCCAGGGAACAACCUGGAGGAAGGCGGGGAUGACGUCAAGUCAUCAUGCCCCUUAUGUCCUGGGCUACACACGUACUACAAUGGCCGGCAACAGAGGGAAGCGAAGCCGCGAGGCGGAGCGAACCCCAAAAACCCGGUCCCAGUUCGGAUCGCAGGCUGCAACCCGCCUGCGUGAAGUCGGAAUCGCUAGUAAUCGCAGGUCAGCAUACUGCGGUGAAUACGUUCCCGGGCCUUGUACACACCGCCCGUCACACCACGAAAGUUGGUAACACCCGAAGCCGGUGGGGUAACCUUAGGGAGC
rnacentral:rRNA from 1 species